rnacentral:rRNA from 1 species
UACGUAGGGCGCAAGCGUUGUCCGGAAUUAUUGGGCGUAAAGAGCUCGUAGGCGGCUUGUCACGUCGGGUGUGAAAGCCCGGGGCUUAACCCCGGGUCUGCAUUCGAUACGGGCAGGCUAGAGUGUGGUAGGGGAGAUCGGAAUCCUGGUGUAGCGGUGAAAUGCGCAGAUAUCAGGAGGAACACCGGUGGCGAAGGCGGAUCUCUGGGCCAUUACUGACGCUGAGGAGCGAAAGCGUGGGGAGCGAACAGG